GACGAACGCUGGCGGCGUGCUUAACACAUGCAAGUCGAACGGAAAGGCCCUGCUUUUGUGGGGUGCUCGAGUGGCGAACGGGUGAGUAACACGUGAGUAACCUGCCCUUGACUUUGGGAUAACUUCAGGAAACUGGGGCUAAUACCGGAUAGGAGCUCCUGCUGCAUGGUGGGGGUUGGAAAGUUUCGGCGGUUGGGGAUGGACUCGCGGCUUAUCAGCUUGUUGGUGGGGUAGUGGCUUACCAAGGCUUUGACGGGUAGCCGGCCUGGGAGGGUGACCGGCCACAUGGGGACUGAGAUACGGCCCAGAGUCCUACGGGAGGCAGCAGGGGGGAAUAUUGCACAAUGGGCGGAAGCCUGAUGCAGCAACGCCGCGUGCGGGAUGACGGCCUUCGGGUUGUAAACCGCUUUCGCCUGUGACGAAGCGUGAGUGACGGUAAUGGGUAAAGAAGCACCGGCUAACUACGUG
rnacentral:rRNA from 1 species